CAUCUUCAAAGCCUUCAAUUUCUUCUGCUUUCACUAUAUCAUCUCCAUAUACCACUUCAAGAUCACGCAAGUAUGGAAACUUCAUAUUCCAGAGCCCCUUUGCCUCUUUAUGCGCCUACAACAACGAGGCAUCAGAAACAAACAAAUAAAAAAAAGAAAGUUUAUAAUAUGGAAUAUCAAAUAAAAUAAAAAUAUGAAAAGCAAAAAACCUAUAAUUACCUUAACCCAAUUGUCAUACCACUGUCUCUCACAGCUGAUCAUCUUCUCAGCAGCAUUCCAUUUGCAACCACUUUGUCUUAACAUCUUACUAAUUGCAUAAAAUUUGCUCUUCAACCACUUCACUUUUGACUCAACAUGCGGAUCAACUUUCUUCGUGAAAUUUGGAAUCUUACUUGAAAUAAUAUUGUGCACCUCAAACAUAUAGUUUUGCUUAAAUCCACCAUCAUUUUUCCACAAAGGAUCAUAUGACAACUCUUUUAGUGCUUCAACUAACGCUUUUACCUCUUCAGGAGUCCAAAAGCAUUUAUUCUU
rnacentral:lncRNA from 1 species